rnacentral:misc_RNA from 1 species
GAUGAAGGAACGCAGCGAAAUGCGAUAAGUAGUGUGAAUUGCAGAAUUCAGUGAAUCAUCGAAUCUUUGAACGCACAUUGCGCCCCUUGGUAUUCCAUGGGGCAUGCCUGUUCGAGCGUCAUUUGUACCUUCAAGCUUUGCUUGGUGUUGGGUGUUUGUCUCGCCUUUGCGUGUAGACUCGCCUUAAAAUAAUUGGCAGCCGGCGUAUUGAUUUCGGAGCGCAGUACAUCUCGCGCUUUGCACUCAUAACGACAGCGUCCAAAAGUACAUUUUACACUCUUGACCUCGGAUCAGGUAGGGAUACCCGCUGAACUUAAGCAUAUCAAUAAGCGGAGGA